rfam:Angiostrongylus cantonensis strain Taiwan genome assembly, scaffold: ACAC_scaffold0002917
GGUCCCGUGGUGUAGCGGUUAGCACUCAGGAAUCUGAAUCCUGCGACGGGGGUUCAAAUCUUUCUGGGACCU